rnacentral:rRNA from 1 species
UGGGGAAUAUUGGACAAUGGGCGAAAGCCUGAUCCAGCCAUGCCGCGUGUGUGAAGAAGGUCUUCGGAUUGUAAAGCACUUUAAGCUGGGAGGAAGGGCAUUAACCUAAUACGUUAGUGUUUUGACGUUACCGGCAGAAUAAGCACCGGCUAACUCUGUGCCAGCAGCCGCGGUAAUACAGAGGGUGCAAGCGUUAAUCGGAAUUACUGGGCGUAAAGCGCGCGUAGGUGGUUUGUUAAGUUGAAUGUGAAAUCCCCGGGCUCAACCUGGGAACUGCAUCCAAAACUGGCAAGCUAGAGUAGGGUAGAGGGUGUUGGAAUUUCCUGUGUAGCGGUGAAAUGCGUAGAUAUAGGAAGGAACACCAGUGGCGAAGGCGACCACCUGGACUCAUACUGACACUGAGGUGCGAAAGCGUGGGGAGCAAACA